UUCCUGGGAGCCUCCAAGCUCCUCAGCCUCUGGGCUGCCUGAAGCAAAUACUCUUCACAAUUUGAUGGAAUUUUAGCAUUGAUGGAAGACCUUUCAGGUACAACUUCCACCUUGCUCAAGCAUGGCUUUAAUGAAAACUAUUCUAGUUGCAAGACGCAGAAAUUUUAAACCUGGGCUUAAUAAGGAAUAAAGAGGUCAUUAAUGAAAGGAAUCCUAAAAUUCUGCCUCUCUCUGCAAGAGUUUUCAUUCUCUGAUCUGAAGACUGAAUUUUCUGCUUUCUCAUAGUUUCUGCCACUACUCCUUUCUCCAAUUUCAGAUUAUACUUGGUUUGGGUUUACUGUGGUGAUUAUGGCCUUGCUUCUAUAAGAACUUUCAACGUCUGGUCCCACAGCUAACUCUAGUGUCUUAAUAACCAACUACCGAAUUGUUAGAAGACAAAGCUGAUUGGCCCAGCUCAGACUGAGUGUCCCCAUUGGCCUAUAAACUGUUGUGAGAUGGGGGCAAGGGUGCCUGUAGUCAUCUGUGAUAGACACAAUAGUGGGCUCUCAAAGAAAUCUGUGUCCUAAUUCCCAGAAUUUAUGAAUAUGUUACAUUAUCUAGGAAAAGGAACUUUGCAGAUUUCACUAAAACAAAAAUCGAGAUUUAAAGACUCCCUGGGAUUGCCUGGUUUAGAGCAAUAUAAUCACAAGGGUGCUUAUAAAGGAAAGAGGGAGGCAAGAGAGCCAGAGUUAGAGAAGGAGAUUUUGGAAUGGUGAAAGCAGAGUGUAGUGUGAUGCAGGGCCAUAAACCAGCAAAUCCUGAAGCCUCUUGAAGCCAGAAAAAUCAAGGAACUGGAAUCUCCCCUUAAAGCUUCCAGAAGGAAUGCAACCCUGAGGCCCAUGUUAGACAUUUGAUCACCAGACCGGUAGAAGAAUAAAUUUAUGUUGUUUCAAUCCACUGAAUGUGUGGUAAUUUGUUAGAGCAGCAAUAGAAAUUAAUACAUGACCCCUUUCAGAAGGAGGAGCAGUCACUAGAGGAAAGCUACCCUCUUCUGUGAUCCUAAGACCUCAUAGAAAUUAAAAGUAGCUUCUCAAAGUGCAGGGACGCCUGGCCUUACCUUUUCUAGUUUUUAUCUGCCUCUGAGCCAGCUGAAUGAAUAGCCACUAGGUUCCUCUUAUAUGGCAACAGAAGUUGUCUUUUCCUGAGGGUAAUAAUAAUAACUACUCACAGGAAGUUUUGUGAAUAUUAAUUUAGAUAACACUACUUGUACCAUUACCUGUAUGUACAAGGUCACUGAUGACAAUCUGACACUGAGUAAAUGCCAAUUAUGAUGAGCCCUCCCAAUAAGAUGUGAAACCUUGAUGGUUGUCACUGAGCCUGAAUGAAUUCGAAAUACCAUUUACUUGUUAACCAACUAUUAUGGCUCAACUCCUUCCCUAUGUGCUACUUACUUAGAUAUCACAACAACAGAAAGGGAUAUAUUUUCUCCAACUUAUAAAUGAGACAACCGAGUCUCAUAACAUGUAAAUAACUUGCCCCAAAGUGGGAGUGUCAAAGCUAGAAUUCAAAUAUAGGUCAUUUGGCUUUAACAGUAAGCCUCUUUCUAGGUCACUGCGUAGACCCUCUCAGUGCAACAAACCACUAGUCUCCAGACCACUGCCCCCCAUUUCUAAUCCAUGAUAUUUUGGAAGGUGUUAAUGGAUAUGAACAAGCUUGGAAACACUUUAACAUUGAAAGCACUGGAUAUGUGAGGAUUGUCCAAGAUUCAGUAAGCGUGCAUAUUGCUAUGGACUGAAUUGUAUCCCUCUAACAGUCAUAUGUUGAAGCUCUAACCCCCAGUGUGACUAUAUUUAAAGAUAGGCCUUAUGAGAAGGUAAUAAAGAUUAAAAGAGGUCAUAAGGAUAGAGCCUGAUAAGGCUGGUGCCCUCAUAAAAAAAAAAAAAAAAAAAGAGGAGUUCCCACCAUGGCUUAGCAGUAACAAACCCAACUAGUACCUAUGAAGAGUGGGUUCCAUCUCUGGCAUUGCUCAGUGGGUUUAGGAUCCACUGUAGUGUAGGCCUGCAACUACAGCUCUGAUUCAACCCCUAGCUUGGGAACUUCCAUAUGCUGCAGGUGUAGCCCUAAAAAGACAAAAAUACAUACCUACAUACAUAUCAUAAAAGGAAGCAACACCAAAGUUCUCUCUUUCUCUCCCAUGUGAGGGCACAGUGGGAAGGCAACUGACUUCAAGCUAGGAAGAGAGUCCUAUCAGGAACCAAAUCAGCCAGCACCAUGAUCUUGGACUUUCUAGCCUCCAGAACUAUAAGAAUAUAUAUUUCUCUUGUUUAAGUCCCCCAGUCUAUGGUAUUUUGUUAUGACAGAGAAAACUAAGAUACAUAUACAAUGUGACAUACCCUUUCUUCUUCUUGGUAGUUAUUCUGUUUUAUUUAUUUCCAACUCCAGGUAUUUCAGUAUGUAGUCUUAUAAACAGGAGACAUAGCUCGUCAUUUCGUGUCUAACAUACAUGCAUUCAUUCCACCAAAAUUUUUUGAGAGUAGAAUCUCCGUUACAUGAUGGAGUGCAGAAUCAGGAAGGAUAGAUAAUACGGUAAAGCUUUCAGUGUAAAACUGUAGAACGUCUAAGUGUGCAGCAAGUAUGUAGGAUAUGCACAUUCCUAUGUAUGUAUGUGUGUGUACACGCAUGUGCAUGUGUGUGAGAUGUAUGAGCAAGAUAUAAAGAGAAGAGGAAAAGGUAAUAUAAAUGAGGUAAUCAGCUGUAUAGAUUGAACAGAAUACAGCAAUAUCUGUUUAUUUCAGUCUUAAGGAAAAACAUAGUGCUCUCGGUUGAGUAUUUGGUUGAAGUCUAGGAAAAGAAAGGAAUGAGGGCUUUACAGAUGAUGUGAAGAAGAAAGUUCCAUAAAGAUGUCUUCUGCUCUUCUAGACAAUUUUUUUUCUUGGCUCAACACCUGAUAUCUUAGCUGGUCCUGCAAAAGAUGCUUUAAAAUUCUGGUGCUUCCGAUGGUGGAUACAACAGAACUAAGGUCCCUCCUCAGUUUUAUCCUUGAAGCCCUAUGAAUGGAUGGUAAUAAUUUGAGAAGCAGUGCAUAUUUGUGGGUACUUAAAGGAGCACAUAUAAAAAAUCUCAACUUUGCAAACAACAUAGUUGACCACUGAAAGGCAGUAAAGGAUUCUUUCUUCCUUCUUUCCUUAAUUACAGAUUCUUGCUUCUGUCCUGGGGAAGGCUGUGCAUUGACUGUCACCAGGUUUCUCAAACCUGUCUCCUUCGUUCCAUCCUUAAUGCCACUAUGAAGGCUUAAUCCACCAUCACCUAAUAUCAAGAUAACUGAUGCCAAUAUCCACAUUCCAAUCAUUCUCUCCAAUGCCACAGUUAUGAUAUUGUGACUCCCUGUCUAAUUCAGGGACUCUCCCUUGCACCUAGCCCAGUGUCCUCAGAGUAUCAUCAAAGCCCCUAUAAGCUUCAGCUGUGCUAAAGUAUUUAUAGUUCCUGGAAAGUAGCAGGCUCUUCCUUAUCAUCAGUUAUUUUGCACAUGCUAUUCUCUCUGCCUAGAAAGGACUUCUUCCCCUUUCUUUGCCUGGUUAGCCUUCCAUUCAAGUCUUCACGUAGAUAUAUACCUUUCGGAAUAGCACAUGAGAAGAGGAACCUAUAUGUGUUAUCAGAGCAUUCAUAACUCUUAACACAUUGGACUAGGAUUGUCUGUUUAUUUCCUAAGUACUAAUAGUAGGCACUGUGUAUUAUUCACUGUUCAUCCCCGUGUUCAUUAGGUUCUUUCCAACCAGCUUCUUUUCUGUGCCUCAAAUAUGUGUCAAACCCUCUGCUGGCUCUCUUAUUUAUUCAUUCAUCCAAAUCUUCAAUCAAAAAAUAUAUUAAAUACAACGUUUAUGUCUGAAACUGUUUCAGGUGUUGAGACUGAGCAGUGAACUCAAAAGAAAGUAAUUUUUGCCCUUAGGGAGCUUCCAUUGUUGUGGGGCUGAGGCAGAUAAUAAACAGAAGAGAUAAUGAAAGCAUCGAAGAUACAGAUAAUAUAGGGAGUGCUGGUGGAUGGAGAAGGAGGCUUUGUUAAUAAAGGUGACUAGUGAAGGCCUCAUUGAAAAGAUGGCAUUUGAGCAGAACAUAUAAGAGAACUGGACUUGGAGAUAUGUGGGGAAAAAAAAUCAAUCUAGAGGGAAGAGUUCCUGCUAUUACUUCUCUCACCUAGUAAACAAAUAAGCAAAAUAAAAUAACUCAUUUUUUAGGCUACUUCCCCUUCCAGCUACCAUUAUGUUUUUCAUUCCAUUCUGUAUAUAGUCCAUGGCCUUGACUAUGUCUUAGGUAUAUUUAUUUAUUUAUUUACCUCUUGUCUGUUCCCCUAAUAAGUUACAAGCUCCAUUAAUAUAGGAAUUUUGGGAGUUCCCGUCGUGGCGCAGUAGUUAACGAAUUCGACUAGGAUCUAUGAGGUUGAGGGUUCAGUCCCUGCCCUUGCUCAGUGGGUUAACGAUCCAGCGUUGCCAUGAGCUGUGGUGUAGGUUGCAGAUGCAGCUCGGAUCCAGCGUUGCUGUGGCUGUGGUGUAGGCUGGUGGCUGCAGCUCCGAUUCGACCCCUAACCUGGGAACCUCCAUAUGCCGCGGGAGCGGCCCAAGAAAUAGCAGGGAGACCAAAAAAAUAAAUAAAUAAAUAUAGGAAUUUUGUCCACUUUAUUCACAGCCGUGUUACCAGAACCUAGCGUUAGUGCCUAGAUACAUAAUAGGGAUUUGUUAAAUGACUUUUAUUGGACAAAUUCGUGAAUGUUUUCAAAAAAAAAAAUGAGUUAGAAUUCCUAUACUUACUGACAUGGUUUUUGUUUUGUUUUGUUUUUUACUAUUUAUUUAUUUAUUUAUUUAUUUUUAGGGCCGCAACUGCUACAUAUGGAAAUUCCCAGGCUAGGUGUCAUAUCAGCUGCCAUGGGAGUUCCCGUCGCGGCUCAGUGGCUAAUAAAUCUGACUAGGAACCAUGAGGUUGCGGGUUCGAUCCCUGGCCUUGCUCAUUGGGUUAAGAAUCCCGAGUUGCCGUGAGCUAUGGUGUAGGUUGCAGAUGCGGCUCAGAUCCCACAUUGCUGUGGCUCUGGUGUAGGCCGGCAGCUACAGCUCCGAUUAGACCCCUAGCCUGGGAAUCCCUAUAUGCCGUGGGAGUGGCCCUAGAAAAGGCAAAAAAGACAAAGGGAAAAAAAAAAAAAAAAGAGUUACAUCUGCCAGCCAAAGCCACGGCCACAGCAAUGUGAGAUCUGAGCCACAUCUUUGACCCACACCACAGCUCACAGCAGCACUGGAUCCUUAACCCACUAAGCAAGACCAGCGAUCAAACCUGUAUCCUCAUCUUCAUGAAUACUAGUCAGCUUGUAACUUGCUGAGCUGCUAUAGGAACUCCUGACAUGUUAUUAUUAAAUAUAUUUUAUUCUGGUUUUGCUUCCAUGAAGUCUUUACUUCCAAAAGGCUUGUUUUGGCUUUUGGACUUCUAUAUUUAAAAUACAGUGAACAUGAAUCUUUUUUUAAACUUCUCUCACCAACUUUAUUAUUUUAAAAACUAUUUCAAUGUUAGUACACACACACCAAAAAAAGUAUAUAGAUAAUGGCUUGAGGUUGAUCAGAUGUUCCUUUUUAUCUGUGUGCUGCUACCUCAAGUAUGUGAGAGAGUAAGCCAAAUUAUUAAAAUAUAUGAUUAAAAAAUUGAGAAAAUGAUCAAGCUUGUUAUACCUUUAAAAAACAUUUACAAAAUGUUUAGUGCAUAAUCAACUAAAGAAGUGUAUUUUUGUUCGUUGUUUAAUUUAAUGGCCACACUCGCAACUUAUGGAAGUUCUUGGGCCACAGCUGUUUUCAUAGCACAGCUGAGGCAACAUCAGAUAAUUUUAACCUACUGCUCUGGGCUGGGAAUCAAACCUGCACCUCCUAAGCAACCUGAGCCACUGCAGUUGGACUCUUAACCCACUACACCACAGUGGGAACUCAGCCAUUUUUUUCAAGAGAUUUUUUGCUUUGGCUUUUUUUUUGCUUGUUAAAAGCAUGAAAGAACUGAAAUCACGGAUACAGAUGUAAAAUUUGUAAGUAGAUAAGGGAUUCUGGGUGUCAAAACCACACAUGAUUAUUCUAAUGUCCUUUGUGAGGACACCUCCCACUGUGUUGAGAUGGAGGUGACAACUUUGUUGACAUAUUUUUCCAAGUUCAGUACACAUAUGUUUUGAUUGUUUUAUUUUAGCACCAUUGCAGACCCAUGAAUCUUUAGGUCUUGGCCCCAACUGUUCAUAUAAUCACUUCUAUAUACCUCUAGAGCAAGUUGUGUUAUAUGUAUAUUCCAUACUCAUGGCUCUGCAGGUAUGUGAUUUGGCCCUAUUAGGGACUGAUUUGCAGCCAUUUGGAAUCAGGUAAGUGCAUUUGAAAAGCAGGCUAUUAGCAUAUUAGCAAUGAAAAUUAAGAAUAAAUGAAACUGGAGUUCCUAUUGUGGCUCAGAGGUAAUGAACCCAACUAGUAUCCAUGAGGAUGCAGGUUCAAUCCCUGGCCUUGCUCAGUGAGUUAAGGAUCCAGUGUUGCUGUGAGCUGUGGUAUAAGUCACAGACAUGGCUCCAAUCUAGCGUUGCCAUGGCUGUGGAGUAGGCCAGCAGCUGCAUCUCUGAUUUGACCCCUAGCCCAGGAACUUCAU
rnacentral:lncRNA from 1 species